rnacentral:rRNA from 1 species
GGAGCGUUCUGUAAGCCUGCGAAGGUGUGCUGUGAGGCAUGCUGGAGGUAUCAGAAGUGCGAAUGCUGACAUAAGUAACGAUAAAGCGGGUGAAAAGCCCGCUCGCCGGAAGACCAAGGGUUCCUGUCCAACGUUAAUCGGGGCAGGGUGAGUCGACCCCUAAGGCGAGGCCGAAAGGCGUAGUCGAUGGGAAACAGGUUAAUAUUCCUGUACUUGGUGUUACUGCGAAGGGGGGACGGAGAAGGCUAUGUUGGCCGGGCGACGGUUGUCCCGGUUUAAGCGUGUAGGCUGGUUUUCCAGGCAAAUCCGGAAAAUCAAGGCUGAGGCGUGAUGACGAGGCACUACGGUGCUGAAGCAACAAAUGCCCUGCUUCCAGGAAAAGCCUCUAAGCAUCAGGUAACAUCAAAUCGUACCCCAAACCGACACAGGUGGUCAGGUAGAGAAUACCAAGGCGCUUGAGAGAACUCGGGUGAAGGAACUAGGCAAAAUGGUGCCGUAACUUCGGGAGAAGGCACGCUGAUAUGUAGGUGAAGUCCCUUGCGGAUGGAGCUGAAAUCAGUCGAAGAUACCAGCUGGCUGCAACUGUUUAUUAAAAACACAGCACUGUGCAAACACGAAAGUGGACGUAUACGGUGUGACGCCUGCCCGGUGCCGGAAGGUUAAUUGAUGGGGUCAGCGCAAGCGAAGCUCUUGAUCGAAGCCCCGGUAAACGGCGGCCGUAACUAUAACGGUCCUAAGGUAGCGAAAUUCCUUGUCGGGUAAGUUCCGACCUGCACGAAUGGCGUAAUGAUGGCCAGGCUGUCUCCACCCGAGACUCAGUGAAAUUGAACUCGCUGUGAAGAUGCAGUGUACCCGCGGCAAGACGGAAAGACCCCGUGAACCUUUACUAUAGCUUGACACUGAACAUUGAGCCUUGAUGUGUAGGAUAGGUGGGAGGCUUUGAAGUGUGGACGCCAGUCUGCAUGGAGCCGGCCUUGAAAUACCACCCUUUAAUGUUUGAUGUUCUAACGUGGACCCGUGAUCCGGGUUGCGGACAGUGUCUGGUGGGUAGUUUGACUGGGGCGGUCUCCUCCUAAAGAGUAACGGAGGAGCACGAAGGUUGGCUAAUCCUGGUCGGACAUCAGGAGGUUAGUGCAAUGGCAUAAGCCAGCUUGACUGCGAGCGUGACGGCGCGAGCAGGUGCGAAAGCAGGUCAUAGUGAUCCGGUGGUUCUGAAUGGAAGGGCCAUCGCUCAACGGAUAAAAGGUACUCCGGGGAUAACAGGCUGAUACCGCCCAAGAGUUCAUAUCGACGGCGGUGUUUGGCACCUCGAUGUCGGCUCAUCACAUCCUGGGGCUGAAGUAGGUCCCAAGGGUAUGGCUGUUCGCCAUUUAAAGUGGUACGCGAGCUGGGUUUAGAACGUCGUGAGACAGUUCGGUCCCUAUCUGCCGUGGGCGCUGGAGAACUGAGGGGGGCUGCUCCUAGUACGAG